CAUGGCCUCUGUGGUGAGCAGCACUACCAGCAGAGUCUGGAUCAAGCUUUAUUGGCAGCUCAUCAUUGAACAAGACAUGCUGAUUGUUCCUUGUUCUAGGCUGCAGAUACCAUGGGACUGCAAUAUCAGAAUUCCCAGCUGCCCAGAACAUCUCCCACGCUUUGCUGCUGUUAAGCUGAGAAGUGGAUUCUUCAUGACUACUUUGCUGUAUCUGAGUCCUGUGCAGCUUUGGCAGUGAGAGAGAGGACAACUCCAGGAACCUCAGGCAAAGCUCUCUGUAUCCUGCAACCAUUAAACCCUGACAUCAGGAUCUCACACCAAUGGCAUCCGCUUAACUUUCAGAUAGAGCCACAAGAGAAGGACACUAAGAGGUAUAAACAAGCACCACACAGAUGGCUCCUCUCCAAGGAUGCAGAGUACCAGUAAAUGCUGCACCUGCCUGCUGUCUUAAUUUUCUGGCCACAUGAAAAUUCUCUUCAUUAACACAAAGAGCAAGAGGAGAAGUCCCACAUUUUUUCCUCAGACAGUAUUUUUCUGAAGGCAACACUGGC
ensembl:lncRNA